rnacentral:rRNA from 1 species
AACGGGCCGUCAUAGAGGGUGAGAAUCCCGUAUGGGACGGGGUGUCCGCGCCCGUGUGAAGCUCCUUCGACGAGUCGAGUUGUUUGGGAAUGCAGCUCUAAAUGGGUGGUAAAUUUCAUCUAAAGCUAAAUAUUGGCCGGAGACCGAUAGCGCACAAGUAGAGUGAUCGAAAGAUGAAAAGCACUUUGAAAAGAGAGUUAAAAAGCACGUGAAAUUGUUGAAAGGGAAGCGCUUGCGACCAGACUCGCCUACGGGGUUCAACCGGCAUUCGUGCCGGUGUACUUCCCCGUGGGCGGGCCAGCGUCGGUUUGGGCGGCCGGUCAAAGGCUCCCGGAAUGUAACGCCUCUCGGGGCGUCUUAUAGCCGGGGGUGCAAUGCGGCCUGCCUGGACCGAGGAACGCGCUUCGGCACGGACGCUGGCAUAAUGGUCGUAAGCGACCCGUCUUGAAACACGGACCAAGGAGUCUAACAUUUACGCGAGUGUUCGGGUGUCAAACCCGUACGCGCAGUGAAAGCGAACGGAGGUGGGAACCCUUACGGGUGCACCAUCGACCGAUCCUGAUGUCUUCGGAUGGAUUUGAGUAAGAGCGUAGCUGUUGGGACCCGAAAGAUGGUGAACUAUGCCUGAAUAGGGCGAAGCCAGAGGAAACUCUGGUGGAGGCUCGCAGCGGUUCUGACGUGCAAAUCGAAUCGUCGAAUUUGGGUAUAGGGGCGAAAGACUA